rnacentral:rRNA from 1 species
UACGUAGGGGGCAAGCGUUGUCCGGAAUCAUUGGGCGUAAAGAGCGUGUAGGCGGCCCGAUAAGUCCGCUGUGAAAGUCCAGGGCUCAACCCUGGGAUGCCGGUGGAUACUGUCGGGCUCGAGUCCGGAAGAGGAGUGUGGAAUUCCGUGGUGUAGCGGUGAAAUGCGCAGAUAUCAGGAGGAACACCAGUGGCGAAGGCGGCUGCCUGGGCCCGACCUGACGCUGAGGCGCGAAAGCGUGGGGAGCGAUCCGG